rnacentral:rRNA from 1 species
AUGACUGCGGAGUACCGCGCUCUCCUCAGCAACAACACUUGGGAUCUUGUGCCCCCUCCUCGGGAUGCUAACAUCGUCUCCGGCAAGUGGGUUUUUCGCCAGAAGCUCAAACCCGAUGGCUCCCUCGAUCGCUACAAAGCUCGCUGGGUGCUUCGGGGUUUCUCUCAGGAGCCCGGUGUCGACUUCGACGAGACAUUCAGCCCGGUUGUCAAACCGGCCACCGUGCGUGUCAUCCUCUCCAUCGCGCUCUCUCUUAAUUGGGAGACUCGUCAGCUCGACGUCAAGAACGCCUUUCUACAUGGCACUCUUGCUGAAGUCGUCUACUAUUGUCAACCCACCGGCUUCAUCGACUCCACUCGCCCCGAGCACGUAUGUCGGCUGAACCGUUCUCUAUACGGUCUCAAGCAGGCUCCCCGUGCGUGGUACCAGCGCUUC